rnacentral:rRNA from 1 species
UGUGGUGACUAUAGCGAAAUGGAUACACCUGUUCCCAUCUCGAACACAGAAGUUAAGCAUUUCAACGCCGAGGAUAGUAGGUUCGCCUGCGAAAGUAGGUAGUCGCCAAGC